ensembl:miRNA Mir6404 microRNA 6404
ACAUUCUACACAGCCCUGUACAUCAUGUCCCAUCACUAGAGGACAGUGAAGUCUCUGUGGGAAGUGGCAAGGGGUAGGGGGCGGGUGGUGGUGG